UACAGGGGGCUCGAGCGUUAGUCGGAAUCACUGGGCUUAAAGGGUGCGUAGGCGGUCCGCCAAGUGCUUUGUGAAAUCCCCGAGCUCAACUCGGGAACUGCAGGGCAAACUGGAGGACUUGAAGCAGGUAGGGGCUGGAAGAACAGUAGGUGGAGCGGUGAAAUGCGUAGAUAUCUACUGGAAUGCCGAUGGGGAAGCCGUCCAGCUGGGCCUGUCUUGACGCUGAGGCACGAAAGCGUGGGUAGCAAACAGG
rnacentral:rRNA from 1 species